UUACCCCUACGGUAUUCGUGAUCGAGAUAAUGUCUUGAGCCAACACUCGAUUUCCAUGAGACCCAACGUCCUUGCCGGAGAUGAUGGCCUUCACGGUUGACUGAACCAAGGUGAGGCGAGUCUCGACAUUGUGGGAACGGGUCAAGACUUUCAAGACACGGUAUCUGUGGGGGUUUU
rnacentral:other from 1 species